rnacentral:rRNA from 1 species
GAAUUUUACACCCUCUAUCCGCCUGGGUACUACGAGCAUUAGCUUGAAACCCAAAGGACUUGGCGGUACUUUAGAUCCCCCUAGAGGAGCCUGUUCUAUAACCGAUGACCCCCGUUCAACCUCACCCUCCCUUGUUUCUCCCGCCUAUAUACCGCCGUCGUCAGCUUACCCUGUGAAGGUCUAAUAGUAAGCAAAAUUGGCACCGCCCAGAACGUCAGGUCGAGGUGUAGCGCAUGAGAGGGGAAGAAAUGGGCUACAUUCGCUAAUAUAGCGAAUACGAACGAUGCACUGAAAACGUCCAUCUGAAGGAGGAUUUAGCAGUAAGUGGAAAAUAGAGUGUUCCACUGAAAUCGGCUCUGAAGUGCGUACACACCGCCC